GAUGAACGCUAGCGGCAGGCUUAACACAUACAAGUCGAGGGGUAGGUAUAGGCAAUAUAUGAGACCGGCGCACGGGUGCGUAACGCGUAUGCAAUCUGCCUUCCACAAAGGAAUAGCCCAGAGAAAUUUGGAUUAAUGCCUUAUAGCAUUACAGGAUGGCAUCAUCCAGUAAUUAAAGAUUCAUCGGUGGAAGAUGAGCA
rnacentral:rRNA from 1 species